rnacentral:rRNA from 1 species
UACGUAGGGCGCAAGCGUUGUCCGGAAUUAUUGGGCGUAAAGAGCUCGUAGCGGUCUGUUGCGUCUGCCGUGAAACCCGAGGCUUAACCUCGGGCCUGCGGUGGAUACGGGCAGACUAGAGGUAGGUAGGGGAGAAUGGAAUUCCCGGUGUAGCGGUGAAAUGCGCAGAUAUCGGGAGGAACACCGGUGGCGAAGGCGGUUCUCUGGGCCUUACCUGACGCUGAGGAGCGAAAGCGUGGGGAGCGAACAGG